AAAUGGAGACAGGACACUCUGAGCUCUACUCAAACCCUGUACAAUACAACUAGGAAUGGCUGCAGUGCUACUACCAGGAUGGGAUGAAGAACAUAGUGGACCACCAUGGCUGUAACAUGUGGAUCAGUGGGGAGCUGGGCCGCCUCAAGCCAGAGGUUCAAGAAAUGAGAUAGUGAGCACAAAGAAGAUGCACAAGAAGGAAGAGAAUGAGAAGGAAGCAGUGGAACAGAACCCUGACUUUGGACAUGAAGAAAACAAUACUAAGACAAAGAAAAGACCUUCUAGAGCCAAAACAGACAGUGCUGCAGAGACAAAGAAAACACCAGCUAAGAAAUCACUGAAUGGCCAGAUAAGGAAAGCCACAAAGAGAGCAAAGGGAGUGAACGUCAAGAAAGAAGAGGCAGCCACACCCAUUCUAGCAUCCAGGAUCAGAGUGAAGCUAGAGGAAGCCAACACUGUGCCAAGAUGCCGCUCAGCAAGACUCAGCUGUCACCAGUGAAGCAGAGUAGUGAAGCUCGACUUGAUGUUGUUAUACUACCUCAUCUUUUUUAUCCUUAAGGCAUAAGCACUGCACUCCAGAGACAUCAGUUGUUGGGUGAUUUUGGCAGAUAGUUGACUCAUAUACAAAAGAAAUGAGAGCAAGGUUGCUGCAGUUUGUGACAGGUUCUUCACAUGUUCCUCUCCAAGGCUUCAAGGCACUGCAAGGAUCCACAGGUGCUGCUGGACCCAGGCUCUUCACAAUUCAUCAGAUUGAUGCUCCCACAGGUACUCAUUGAUAUUAUUUUGUUACAUUGGCAUAGGUAUGUAAAAAUUUUGAAAGUAUAAAUCUACUUGAUGAACAGAUCCAAAAUUAAGAAGUUCAAAAGUU